rnacentral:rRNA from 1 species
AGUUCGGUCCCUAUCCGAUGCAGCCGUAAGUGAAUUGAGAAAGGUUGUCCCUAGUACGAGAGGACCGGGACGAACGCAGCUCUCGUGUGACAGUUGUCCUGCCAAGGGCAUGGCUGUUUAGCGACCUGCGGGUGGGAUAAGCGCUGAAAGCAUCUAAGUGCGAAGCCCGUUUCAAGAUAAAUUCACUCACUGGGUUAACCAGGUAAGGCCCGUGGCGAGAUCACCACGUUGAUAGGCCGGAAGUGUAAGUGCGGUAACGCAUUCAGCUGACCGGUACUAAUCGGCCGAGGGCUUGGAGUU